rnacentral:rRNA from 1 species
UGCAGUCGACGCUUCUUUUCUACCGAGUGCUUGCACUCAUUUGAAAAGAGGAGUGGCGGUACGGGUGAGUAACACGUGGGUAACCUGCCCAUCAGAAGGGGAUAACACUUGGAAACAGGUGCUAAUACCGUAUAACAGUCGACACCGCAUGGUGUUGAUUUGAAAGACGCUUUCGGGUGUCACUGGAUGGAUGGACCCGCGGUGCAUUAGCUAGUUGGUGAGGUAACGGCUCACCAAGGCGAUGAUGCAUAGCCGACCUGAGAGGGUGAUCGGCCACACUGGGACUGAGACACGGCCCAGACUCCUACGGGAGGCAGCAGUAGGGAAUCUUCGGCAAUGGACGAAAGUCUGACCGAGCAACGCCGCGUGAGUGAAGAAGGUUUUCGGAUCGUAAAACUCUGUUGUUAGAGAAGAACAAGUAGGAGAGUAACUGCUCUUACCUUGACGGUAUCUAACCAGAAAGCCACGGCUAACUACGUGCCAGCAGCCGCGGUAAUACGUAGGUGGCAAGCGUUGUCCGGAUUUAUUGGGCGUAAAGCGAGCGCAGGCGGUUUCUUAAGUCUGAUGUGAAAGCCCCCGGCUCAACCGGGGAGGGUCAUUGGAAACUGGGAGACUUGAGUGCAGAAGAGGAGAGUGGAAUUCCAUGUGUAGCGGUGAAAUGCGUAGAUAUAUGGAGGAACACCAGUGGCGAAGGCGACUCUCUGGUCUGUAACUGACGCUGAGGCUCG